rnacentral:rRNA from 1 species
ACCAGAGCCAUAUCACUCUGCAGCUCUCGCCUGGUUUCCCACUGAAGCUAAACAGGGUUGAGCCUGGAGAGUACCUGGAUGGGAGACCUCCUGGGGAAAACUAAGGUUGCUGCUGGAU